UACAGGGGGGGCAAGCGUUGUCCGGAAUUAUUGGGCGUAAAGAGCUCGUAGGCGGUUUGUCGCGUCUGCUGUGAAAACUGGAGGCUCAACCUCCAGCCUGCAGUGGGUACGGGCAGACUAGAGUGCGGUAGGGGAGAUUGGAAUUCCUGGUGUAGCGGUGGAAUGCGCAGAUAUCAGGAGGAACACCGAUGGCGAAGGCAGAUCUCUGGGCCGUAACUGACGCUGAGGAGCGAAAGCGUGGGGAGCGAACAGG
rnacentral:rRNA from 1 species